UACGAAGGGGGCUAGCGUUGUUCGGAAUUACUGGGCGUAAAGGGCGCGUAGGCGGCUGUGCAAGUCAGGUGUGAAAGCCCUGGGCUCAACCCAGGAUGUGCACUUGAUACUGCACGGCUAGAGUGUCGGAGAGGAUGGUGGAAUUCCCAGUGUAGAGGUGAAAUUCGUAGAUAUCAAGCGGAACACCGGUGGCGAAGGCGGCCUUCUGGACAAUGACUGACGCUAAAACACGAAAGCGUGGGGAGCAAACAGG
rnacentral:rRNA from 1 species